rnacentral:snoRNA from 1 species
GUAGAUGAUGAAAUAUGCACUGGGCUCUGAGCAGUUCAAUCAAAACUGUUUAAUUUGAUGGACAUUGCAGCCUAGAAAGCUUGUCUGAUAC